GGAAUGUUGUCAUUCUCGCUUUGGGGCCCCAUGGCCCUUCUUCAGAUACAGAAUAGUGGAGCAGUAAGGACCAUCGGCUCUGGAGCCAGAUUGAAACCCAGUUCUCACUCAUACUAGUUAGAGGGCUUUGGCUGACAUAUUUUAAGUGGCCGUGUCUCAGUUUCCCUAUCUGUAACGUGGGAGUGGUCAUGAUAUCUCACACAGUUGCUGUGAGGAUUACACAAGUAGCAGCUUUAAAAGGUCUCUGAGGCCGGGCAUGGUGGCUCACGCCUGCAAUCCCAGCACUUUGGGAGGCAGAGGCGGGUGGAUCACAAGGUCAGAAGUUCAAGACCAGCCUGACCAAUAUGGUGAAACCCCAUCUCUACUAAAAAUGCAAAAUUAGCUGGACCUGGUGGUGUAUCCCUGUAGUCCCAGCUACUUGUGAGGCUGAGGCAGGAGAAUCGCUUGAACCUGGGAAGUGGAGGUUGCAGUGAGCCGAGAUUAUACCACUGCACUCCAGCCUGGGCAACAGAACAAGACUCCUUUCCAAAAAAAAAAAAAAAAAAAAGUCUGUGAAUAGUGCCUGGCAUGUGGUUACAAUCUUAAAUAAAUGUUAGUGAUUUUUAUUUUUCAGAGACCUAUUAUGGGCACAAAGCCCUGACAAACUCCAGACAGCCCUGUUUUGGAUGCAGACAACAAUCACACAUGACAACUCAAGAGGAGUGAGGCAUGGAGCUAGUGAAGGCUGAGCAUGCUGUUCCGACUCUACGUCAGCAGCCUCAAGCCUCCGGGGCACAGCCCGUGUGUGCCUGCAACCCCGCUGGAUGCUGCCAGCUUCCACCAAGGUCCUACUGAUCCCUACCGGCCUGUUCCGCACCCAAGCCUGCCAUCUUGGUUUGGCCUUAUCACAAUUUUCACAGCACACCUGUCUUGCUCAGCAUUUUGAAUUCCAACAAAGACCUGAGGGGUCAGAGCCAAGUUGCAACAAAGGAAGACAGCACGGACAGAUACAAGAAGAGCUUAGGUGUCCCGUACAAGCCACAAGCCUCACUGUCACGUGAAGUAUUUAAAGCUGUAAAUAUCACCACAGGAAAAUCUCUGGUCUUUGCAGGAACCACACAGAGGUAGGGGUGGGAGGAGGCCUAGGCUACAGCUCAACUGGUGUGCAGAGUGGGGGAGGGGGGCCCAUGAGUGGGGGCAGAAUCCUGGGUCCUAACGUGGGCAUCUGGUGGGCAGCAGGGUCCCUGACCGAACCCGGCAGGCAGAGCCACUGUGGGGGGAUCACGUGUUCUCUUUAAGCCGACAGACCAUGCUAUAAAUGAAACUAGACAGAGUCAGGGACUACUUGUACUUUCUCUAAUAACUGCCCACCAGACUCACAGACAGAGUGUCCCAGGUGGGUCAUCAG
rnacentral:lncRNA from 10 species